rnacentral:rRNA from 1 species
CACGUAGGGCGCAAGCGUUGUCCGGAAUUAUUGGGCGUAAAGAGCUCGUAGGUGGUUUGUUACGUCUGCUGUGAAAUCCUAGGGCUUAACCCUGGGCUUGCAGUGGAUACGGGCAGACUAGAGGGUAGGUAGGGGAGAAUGGAAUUCCUGGGUGUAGCGGUGAAAUGCGCAGAUAUCAGGAGGAACACCGGUGGCGAAGGCGGUUCUCUGGGCCUUACCUGACGCUGGAGGAGCGAAAGCGUGGGGAGCGAACGGA